rnacentral:rRNA from 1 species
UACGGAGGGUGCGAGCGUUGUCCGGAAUCAUUGGGCGUAAAGGGCGCGUAGGUGGCCCAGCAAGCGUGCGGUGAAAGCUCGGGGCUCAACCCCGGGUCGGCCGUGCGAACUGCGGGGCUGGAGCACUGUAGAGGCAGGCGGAAUUCCGGGUGUAGCGGUGGAAUGCGUAGAGAUCCGGAAGAACACCGGUGGCGAAGGCGGCCUGCUGGGCAGUUGCUGACACUGAGGCGCGACAGCGUGGGGAGCAAACAGG